GGUUAAGCGACUAAGCGUACACGGUGGAUGCCCUGGCAGUCAGAGGCGAUGAAGGGCGUGCUAAUCUGCGAUAAGCGCCGGUAAGGUGAUAUGAACCGUUAUAACCGGCGAUACCCGAAUGGGGAAACCCAGUGUGAUUCGUCACACUAUCAUUAACUGAAUCCAUAGGUUAAUGAGGCGAACCGGGGGAACUGAAACAUCUAAGUACCCCGAGGAAAAGAAAUCAACCGAGAUUCCCCCAGUAGCGGCGAGCGAACGGGGAGGAGCCCAGAGCCUGAAUCAGCAUGUGUGUUAGUGGAAGCGUCUGGAAAGGCGCGCGAUACAGGGUGACAGCCCCGUACACAAAAGCGCAUGUGCUGUGAGCUCGAUGAGUAGGGCGGGACACGUGGUAUCCUGUCUGAAUAUGGGGGGACCAUCCUCCAAGGCUAAAUACUCCUGACUGACCGAUAGUGAACCAGUACCGUGAGGGAAAGGCGAAAAGAACCCCGGCGAGGGGAGUGAAAAAGAACCUGAAACCG
rnacentral:rRNA from 2 species